rnacentral:rRNA from 1 species
CCUACGGGUGGCAGCAGUGGGGAAUUGUUCGCAAUGGGCGCAAGCCUGACGACGCAACGCCGCGUGGAGGAUGAAGAUUUUCGGAUCGUAAACUCCUUUCGAUCGAGACGAACAGUCAUUCCGUUAAUAGCGGAGUGAAUUGACGGUACCGAGAGAAGAAGCCCCGGCUAACUCCGUGCCAGCAGCCGCGGUAAUACGGGGGGGGCAAGCGUUGUUCGGAAUUACUGGGCGUAAAGGGCUCGUAGGCGGCCAACUAAGUCAUACGUGAAAUCCCUCGGCUUAACCGGGGAACUGCGUCUGAUACUGGAUGGCUUGAAUUCUGGAGAGGGAUGUGGAAUUCCAGGUGUAGCGGUGAAAUGCGUAGAUAUCUGGAGGAACACCGGUGGCGAAGGCGACAUCCUGGACCGAUAUUGACGCUGAGGAGCGAAAGCCAGGGGAGCAAACGGGAUUAGAUACCCUGGUAGUC